CUACGGAGGAUCCGAGCGUUAUCCGGAUUUAUUGGGUUUAAAGGGUGCGCAGGCGGGAGAUUAAGUCGGCGGUGAAAUUUUGCAGCUCAACUGUAAAAGUGCCUUCGAAACUGGUUUCCUUGAGUGUAGAUGAAGUAGGCGGAAUUUGUGGUGUAGCGGUGAAAUGCAUAGAUAUCACGAGGAACUCCGAUUGCGCAGGCAGCUUACUAAACUACUACUGACGCUCAGGCACGAAGGCGUGGGGAUCAAACAGGAUUAGAUACCCUGGUAGUCCACGCAGUAAACGAUGAUUACUAGCUGUUUGCGAUACAAUGUAAGCGGCUGAGCGAAAGCGUUAAGUAAUCCACCUGGGGAGUACGUUCGCAAGACUGAAACUUAAAGGAAUUGACGGGG
rnacentral:rRNA from 1 species